rnacentral:misc_RNA from 1 species
ACCCUCUUGAUCCACUGAUCACUUGCUGAUUGGAUGGUGUCAGACGUGGACAUUCAUCAGUGAUUGUCUUGAAUUGUGCGUGAUUGUGUCGUGAUAGAAUGGCAUUGCUGUUGUGAUCGACCAGUCAUCUUGUCCUUGAUGA